CAAGAUCUGAAAGAGGUAGAUCGUGCCAUUGUUUUAUACCCCUGGAAGAUCGGUUGGUGGACAUGCGGAAUAGGAAGAAGAACAGAUAUUAAACAUCACAUUUGAAUACAGCGCAGAAGGGAAAACGGACUGUGUGUUUAUGGGAGCUCACCCUUGCUCCCCUGUGCAGUCGGUCCUUCAUGAUGCCGAUAAACUCCUUGUAGGAGAGCUGAUCAUCAUGAUCAACAUCAAAAAUCUUAAAGAUUGUGUUCACAAGGUGGCGAGUCAGCUUAAGGCCAGUGGCUACAUAAGCAGCUCUUGCAAAUUCAUCUGAUCGAGCAGCAAAAUUAUACAUCUGCAUGGCAAUCGCAAAGUCCUCAAGGUUGUUGAGAAACUGGAAGAAGGAUCUGAACUCAUCAAAGGGUUCUACCUCGAGGGUAAAGUCCUAAAAUCCAGUGUGGGGUAAGAAGAAAAUGUCAAACAGGACAACACACGUUUACAAAAGAAAAGGAAGGUGUUGAACGCAAGCCUCUGGUACUAGAAUAAGAGUCAGUUCUGUGGAACAAAGCGAUCAAGGGUGAAACAAACUGAAAACAACUGAAUCAAACUUUGAAUAUUAACAGAUAUGUGUAAUAAAAGGUAACAUAAAUCAUAAUAAAAGGCGUAUAAAACACUUUUUAAGAUACUAUCUACUUUUGUGAUACUUUUUUGUGAUUGAAAGCUGUACUUAACUUUUUAUCAUGGUAGAAAAUUGUUUGUUGGGUGUGGGUUACAACAGAAACAGAGUUUCUACUAGUACUCUGUUUAAUGAGAUCCACCUUAAGUGAUUCAUGCUGAUAAUGUUAAUCUACAGGACAAAAAUGUCCUGCUGUUAUUCCAGUGACUUCAGCGUGACUUCAAGAUUCUGUUUGUUUUUGAAACACAUUAUCGUCUGGUAUUUGAACUCCUUGAUUAGACACGUACUAAUGUUGGACUUCCUUCAGAUAAUACAUGUGAUUUUGGUGUCUUGUUUUCGCUGUCUCGCCCAUCUGAGGGUCUUUUAAUUAAGUGCGUGAUUACGGACAAACAGAACAAACCACUUUCAUCUCUGAGGUGACUCAACACUUAUGCCUUUGUGACACAUGAGCUGUUCAUAACACCGAGACAGCGUCCAGGUGGUGUUUUUUCUGCCUCUCACUGCUUCACUGUGUGAUGCCUCUCUGUCUGCCUUAAAAUCAAAUCGCCUUCACUACAACAUUGUUAGUUUUGUAAUGUUAUUAUAAUUUAAAAAUUUUAAUGUGACUGCAGUUGGUUGCGAAACCAUAAAUUCAGCGUCAACUUUUACCGAAACAUUUCAGUGACUCAACUACAGCUCGGUUUUGUUUUAACAUAUUUUAUAGGAAUCUAAUUUGUGGGGACGGUACAUUUACUAAAUACGACUAUACGUCAUCAUCAAUGUAUUAUUAUUAUUAUUAUUAUUGAAUAAAAACAAAUAGUGCAAAGUCAAGUGAGUAUUUUCUCUCCCAUCUUGGGAGUACCUUUACAUUCUUAGCUUUUGAUGGUCUUUGUUUCCCAAAGACUGGGUCACAACCUUGAGGUGGGUCGCAAGAGACUUUUUUUUGGGUCAUCAAACAUCAUGUUUCCCAGGAGUUUACGAAUAAUGUCUAUUGACUUGGGUCGCAAAGGUUUGUGACCCAGAAAAAAAAAGUUUAGAAAACACUGGUUUCGGGUUCUGCUGCUUUCAGAUACUUCGACCAGCACAGACCCUGAAGAGUCCAGAUCAGUUCUUACCAAGUUAGAUCAUGGUCAUAACAAUCUUAUCAUUCCUGGAAGUGCUGUGGCAGUGGUGAGCUCAUUGUCAACAUACAGACGUAAUGGUUACCACACCCACAAGGCACGAGCCAACACCUGGUGCAUGCAUGUUUCUAUUCGUCCAUCUGUGUGUGUGUGUGUGUGUGUGGACUUUAAGUGCCUUUGAUCAUGUAGGGAAGAAUCAGUCAUGGCAGACGUAAACAGUUACAAUCUUCCUGAUCCUCUCUUGCUGUGACUAAAACUUCAGAGAAGCUCACUGUCAGGUCUCAGUGAAGUCAGUGGGUCAGUGCCUUCCUCAGCAGACAAACAUCCAGGUGAUUAGCUCUUCCCUCCCCUCCCUCCUUCUCUACCUGUCCAUCAGUCUCCUCUUGUCCAGACAAAAGCAAGCAGGUAUAAUGGUGACUAAUCUGUUCUGUAAACACAUGCUCUUUGAAUUCUUCUUCCCCGGCCUCUUCCACUCCAAUCACACAAACACACAAACUAACUUUAUCUCUUUGUUUCCACCUUUCAUUACUUACUUAAAUGCAUCAUUUUUUGUUGGUCUUCAUUUAUUGUUUCAUUUAUCUGAGGGUCUCCUCACCCCCUGCCGGUAAUUCUAACUUCCCCACUCUCUGAGUUUUCCUUGUUUGUCAGUCUGACAGUCUGUCUGAUGAAAGGAUACUCGUCGUAAACACAAGGUCAGACCUAUUUCACUCCACUGUCAUUACCUCUGCUUUAGCUUCCGCUAACACCACAGGCUGUCAUUAGUCAGCCAGCCGGCUGGAGUAAUGAUGGCUGUUAAUGAACUUUUAUCUGCACCAUGAUGUCCACCGAGCAUAGUGGUGGCAGCACAAGAACACUGCAAAGAUUAAAUGAGCGCCAUCAAGAGACUGGCGUUGGUAUAACAUUUGUUUUCCUUUUCUAUGCCUAUUAUUAGUUCUUGAUAAGAGGUUGUGGCGUCACAUAAAAAUUGUCUUUACACCAAGCACCACCAGCCACAUGAACACACAGGUAACAGGCACAGAUACACAAACAGAAGCAUAAUGAAAAGACUGAAUGAGAGGCAGAGGUGUAAAACAGAACGGUUCAUACUGUAAGAACAGAUCCUGUAUAAAAAGGUAACACCAGUACUGGUAAAUUAAAUUAAAGGUUUUAUAAUCUUUAAAAGACAUCAACAUACUAAAGGAUAAUUCUAACCAAGAAAAAAUAUAUGAAAUUGUAAAUGAGGAUGAAGAAAAUAUAGAUGGUCAAAACGAUUUGGAUAAAAACCCCAAAAUGGAUCCUUUGAAGGUUCUUUAAGACAGUAGAGCGCUAACAGAAAUCU